GGAGCCCCCUGAGCUGGCAGACACCUGUGCGACACAGCAAUGGGCCCCCAGCUCCUGGGCUGUGUGGUGCUUUGUCUACUGGGAGCAGGCCCCCUGGAAGCUGAAGUGACCCAGAAUCCAAGACACCUUAUCACAGAGACCAAAAAGAAGUUGACAGUGGCUUGUUCGCAGAAUAUGGACCAUGACGCUAUGUACUGGUACCGACAAGACCCUGGACUGGGGCUCAAGCUGAUCUAUUAUUCAAUUAAUGUGGGCCGUAUUGAAAGGGGAGAUGUCCCUGAUGGGUACAAGGUGUCUCGAACAGAGAAGAAAAAUUUCCCACUGAUCCUGGAGUCGACCAGCAUCAGCCAGACCUCUCUGUACCUUCGUGCCAGCAGUAUAUCCACAGCAUGGCAGGGCCAGAGGCUGUCCCCACAAAAAGGGCAGCCACAGAGCAAAGAGGCUCCUCCCUCUGGAUGCCCCGCCCACCAGGAGGAAAACCUUCCCCCACCAUCUGUGCCCAUGGGAGUUCCUCCUCCACUCCCCAGCUUCUGGGCUGACAGUCUGAAGGUCUGCAGCCUGUCCUGCUCUCACUUGCUGUACCAGUGUGUUUGUCAAAGUUCAGGCAGGACAAGAGCUGUGUUUGGUCUAGUGCACAGGUAA